rnacentral:lncRNA from 1 species
UAAUAUAUAUAUAUAUAUAUAUAUAUAUAACAGUUCUUUAUGCUUUAUAUACCAAUAUAUUAAAGCGUGAUAAAAGCGAUACUCGAAUGAAUAUCGACAUUCCGUUAAAUUUAAACGUUACGUUAACAGAGAUCGACCAGUACUCGGAACGUGCUCGUUGUGAAUGAAACCACAGCCACGUUGCCGCGUGCAGCGGGGCUUGCAUAAGCAAGCAGUAUCCUGAGGCUGAAAGGUCACUACUACGCUACAGCUACAACGAGUACUCGGCGAGUAGCUGCUGCUGCUGUUGCUGCUACUACCACCAUCACUACCACCGCUGCCUGGCGCGUAGAAACCGGAAAGACUUAUUCGCAACGUGGCCCGAUGCGAUCGUUCGCGUUGCAUCUAUUCAGGUUGCAUUCAACCGCGUCGAGCGCAUCUGCAGCAUCGCUAACGAUACUGCAAUAUCACCGAGGUGUCGAGUAUUCGCACCUCGACCAACAAAUCUUCCAUCAACUUUCAUUGGAGAUUUUUAAGUAGACGAUAUAUGAAGAAAAAUAAGAGGAAACAUGUGAAUGAUGGAUACGUAUUUCAACUUUAAAUAAUUUUUCCAGAACAAUGAAAAGAAAGACUGAAACUUAUGCACGCUUUUAACAAUUAAUAUCAAAUAUAAGAAUAUUAAAUAUUACAAUAGAAUACUAAACAAAUUUUAAUAUCUUCUAGACGAUUCUUUUGAUAGAAUACAAACAAAUUUCGCGUAUUUUAAAAUUAUGUUUGAAACUUAUUUCAUAUCAAACUAAUAUACAACUUCUUUCAGGAAACGUUUACGCGUAUAUGAUAAAGUAAAAUAUUCUCUAUAUUGAGAAUUUUGACUUUUCGAAGAUUCAAUGGGGGAAAAAUGAUUCCUCGCCUCGCUCAGCGAACCACACGUGAGUCACGUGUAACCUUUGGUCUCACUGGAGCCUGUUAAUCCUACGUGCAAUUUGAUACAAGUAAAAGUGCACUCACAAUGCCGAGAACGUUUCGACGCUCGAAGUAAAGCUUUUCUUAACGUUCUUUUAACGCUUGAUAACAAGCCAGACUGCGAAGUCUCCUUUAAAUUUGCGCAAUGGUGGUAAACAGCGAACGACAAUGAUUGAGAAGCCAUGCUGAUUUCCAGCGAUUAUUCACGCUCGUUCGCGGCUGCAUCCUGGUGUACACGUGCGACUAAGAAGGCCUGUGCACAUGCUGACCAUAUGGUCGCGCAUAAAACAAGUUCAUGUAUGCAAGAAAAGCAAGGUCGCUACCCCCUGCGCACAAAUCGAUGUGACUUGACGACUCUGACAAACUUUCUGAGAAUAUUACACGUUCGUCUUGCACGUGUAUAAGAUUGAUUUUUUACUUUGAAAAUUAACUUUGUGGAAUAUUAUAUAUUGAAAACAUUAGCAUAUAUUUUAUACAUAGAAAAUAAUUUUAUUAUAUAAAAUAUCGUUUUUUUAUCGUAUAAAAUAAAUGUUUUAUCAUGCAAAACAGAUAUCGAUUGCUUGAAAAUUACCAUAAAUGAUUAUAUAUCACUUUUACUUUUCCUACUUUUAUUUUCGUUACUUAUUUCAGUGCUGUAUGAAAUUUUGCGUAGUAGCGUGAGACGGUCUGCGGGAGAUCGCUACUUCGAAAUUCCGAUGACGUCCAGAAUGGUUUUACGAGGAGAAGCACAUACCAACGCAUUAGAGCCAAGACGAUAUUGAACGAUCGAACGGCGCAAUCCGACUAGGCAUCGUCGCCGACAACAAAGAGUUUAUGCUAAUGCCGCGACGUGCAGCGAUUUCGCCAUUACAGACACGUGCAUCUGAGAUUCCACCGUCUCUUGUGAAAUGUCAUUCCUCGCCUCCGGAGAUUAUAUCGAAUUCCUACCUAUUGAAAUUCCCAUUCGUAGGUUGACGUGUCAUUAUUAAUGAGAAUAAAAUAUAAAAGCACAGAUAUUAUUUAAUAUCCGGUAAUCUUAUCUAUAAAACAAUUUCCAUAACAUACAAUCAGGAAAUUUCCAUGAGAAGGAAGAUAAUUAACAUCGAACGUAAGCGAAUUAUUAGCCACGUGUAGCUAAUUAAAGCAUAAGAGCUUAGCCAGAAGAGGCUCGGACAGGGAGAGAGCGAAUUCAUAUUCGGGUCACUGAUAAGGGAAGGAUGUGAGUCGUUGGGGUCACUAAUGACAGGUUGAAUAAAUUAUAUCGACGUUUAUGCGUUACGGGAGCAACGUGCUGAAAAGCUGCGGUGCUGUUCUCAGGGAUUGCCUGGCGAGAUAUUUAUAUCUCGCCUGCUGUUGGUGAGCGUGAGCAUCACCGGCAUCGCCAUCCCUCUCGUCUUGCCUUUCGUGCACGCCACGGUGAGUCGAUGGAGAUGCGACGACCGCCAAAAUUCACUCCACUUUUGCGACAUCAUAACGAAAAUAUUUACCCGACGCGAGUGCAACAACGAGCCAACGUUCUGCUACGAUACCUCGAAGGAACUUGAUCGCGGGCUUUCUCUCGCCCGAGGAACAAUGUAGCUGAUGAACGACGCCCGCCUGUGAAAAUGCCGAGGAGACUUCGGCCUAGAUUCCUAUCGAACCACUCUGGUUUCAAAGUAGUGGAAAUCCAACGACGAAAAGCAAGAGUCUAACUUUCGCUUUAGCUUGAAAUUAUCAGUGAUGCAAGGUGGAAUUUCAACUCUUGCUUCAGCUUGAAAUUAUCUUGAAUAGAUUUGAACAUUAUAAAAUUUCGUUAUUACGCGAUGCACAGAUCGCGAACUAGAUCGCGAAUGUGAUGAUCUAUUCGCGUACAAUUGUACUUGCAAUGUUUCGCGAACGAUACUUUGCAAUGUGUUUUCACCGUGCUAUUUUUACAGUGAGCGAAACCGGCUACAUUAAGUAAAGUCGAUUAGCGCGACUUUUUAUCGCGGUGCAUUCGUUCAGUGGCACUUCUUCCGCUCGGGUUAGAUCUAACUAGGCCUGAAGUCGUGCUCGAGUUAACGCGCCAUGAAGAAGCCGGAGGAAGCACGUGGGCACCCUUAAGGAUGCACAGUCGUUCCUCAUUAGCAACGUUUACGCCGUUGAGAGAAAAAGAUGUCGACAUAUAGCUACGUAGGCUGUAACUUCCACCCAGUUCGCCCAUUCUUCUCGAUCUUCGAUCAUGAAACUUUACUUCCCGUCCGCAUUUCACGAAAUCUUCUGUUUAUAAGUUACAAAGUAAUUUAUAUGUAUUUAUAAAAGUUACCUUUUAAUUCAAACUAUUUGAAGUUGCUCUUGAAUUAAAUUUCAAGGCAAUUUCAGCUAUCUUUUAACUUAGUAUGAGAUAACUUAAAUUAUUUGUUGCUAAAUAACUGUUACUUGAGACGACACAAGUUACUUAAGCUACAGGAGAACGUGAGCGAUUUUGAUCGAGUUACGUUUGGUAAAACUGCUGGUUGAACUCACGAAGUUAUCCUUUAGCCGGCUGUCUUCGUUGACUUGGCGGCUUGAUCAAUAUUGCGCGCGUGAGCAAGACACCAGACUGCACCGGAGAAUCGGCUUGCCGGACCGUGCCGGUCGACAAUUAGCGAUCGGCUUGCACUGACCCUCGAUCUAGUACGCCUCGAAUUUCACGCUCCCGAUAUCGUGCUCGACAUGCCGCUCGUUUGCGUCGGGUGAAAGCAGAUGAUUUAUACGCGGAGUUCCAGGAUACUUGGCGAACGAAGAUGUUAUCGAUUUUUUUUGUUUGUAGAUUUCUCUACCUCCUCCCCCGCUUUUCCUAAUUACUUCUAUGAAUUCUCUUCAGGAUUCCUGGAAUCCCGCGGUAUCUAACGCGACCGGCGAAUCUCACGUUGAAACAACGAGGAACGAAUGCUACGUUCAUCGAAUAAAGAUCGGUCCCGAGGAUAUUUUCGUCGACCCUCGCUUCAAGUUAAAUCGGCGGGAACGAGCGUCGGGGUGCAACGCGGCGGUUCCUUCGAUCGUAGGACCUACCAACCCCUCGAUAAUAAAAGGGAUGACGUCAUAUACCACGUCCGUCGAUGUAACUCACUGUCUCGGAGUGAACACAAAAUUCGUGAGUUGAGAAUCAGUAAAUUCGAAAACAGUUUUAACAAUGCUGCAUAAGAAAUUCAUAAAUACAAAUUAAAAAUCUAUAAAACCGAGAGAUCUAAAAUUAAAUCAUGGAUCUACUGAUGCCAGGAUAUAAGUUUAAGAAUCUGUAAUAUCGAGGCUGCAUCGGCGGCUGUUAGAGCGCCUCUUGAACGUAUUUGCGUUGCGCGUAUACUUCCGGUUGCUCUCACGCAACAUAUAUUUCUGUCGCACGCGAUAUCGUAACUGCGCCGCGCUGGAAAUCGAUGGAUUCAAUAUCAUAAACCGGUCAGUUGACCUUGUUGUCAUGUCUGGCAUUUCGAAAAGAAUAUUUCAAAAACAACGAGUAUAGCAAAACGAACGACUCACUUAUCGACUUAAAGCAAUUAUCCCGCAAUACUGCAGCUUGCAUCCACAGAGAUGGAGUCUCAUAUAAGGAUCCAGUUAGACUUCUAAUCCAGAAGAUAGUCAUUAAUCCUGAGCGUUUUCUCUGUCAGAGUGCAAUGUAUUAUUUCAAUUUAUCGAUCUAUCUAAUUUACACAAUCUGUGGACCACAGAUUUUACAUUAUCUUAAAUCAUAAGAAUUCUUGUUUUUUAAAUAUGUUAUAGUAUAGUUUCUUGAGAUAUUUAUUAUAUUAAAUCUAUUUGUCUGCUUAAAUUUUUUUUACUUGAAUCUACGGAAAUCCUUUACUCAAUCUACUUGAAAAUUAAAUUACUUAAAUAAAAUUGUACGUGCUUUCUGAGGAAUGACGUUGACUGCAACUCGAAUCGAGGAGAAUAACGAGCUGGGCGCGACUAAUUACCAGAAGAGGUUUCUCGAGAAAGGAAGGACCAGAAGGAGGAAGACAAAAGCUGCGGCUGCGGUGGACAGUAGCACAAAGUAUCGAGUAACAUUCGUCAUGGUGAAUGCGGAGACGUCGACCUCGGAUGCAUCCCGGUCCGGCUAGCUCGGUUGGUUGUACGUGCAGACGUACGUGUAGCUAUAUACACGCGUGUGUACGCGUCGGGUGCACACGCGAGCGUUUCCCGGCACGGCAGAUGCGCGUCUACGGACAGAUUUAACCCUCUUUGGUAAAUAAAGGCAGCUUUUGUAAAUUGGAGCAAUGAAUCGAGGGAGGGAAAAAGCGAAAAUGAAGACAAUAACUUUAUGGACGAUAUCGCUAUAAGGCAUGUUCCUCUCUUCUUAUUCUUACUCUUCUUCUUCUUUACGAGUACGGAAAUACCAAACGGCGUGCCGAAAACUCGUGAUCGUGUAGCGCAAAGGGCUGGCUGGAUUUUAACGUGGUGCAAACCAUACUUGCGAAAGGUCAGUGCACCGCAGUGUGCUGGUGUACGGAAUUAACUUAACUACGGUACACCACUCAUAAUCACUGCUUGUUUCCAGAUUCGCGAUUUCUCGAUGCAUGCACAAGCUCUCUCGUAUCGCUCGAUGUGGAGAAAUAUCAAAUGACUUUAAUACUCGUCGAUACAGUCCUGAUGCGAAUGUACCUUUGCGCGUGUAUCUUUGAAUCCGUACAUUCCCAUUGCAUCAAUAGAUUCAUAAUUUGAUGCCGGAGAUCUCCUCGAUUCAUAGUCUCAUAGAAUUUUAAUCUAAUUUAUUUUUAGAUCAAACAGAAUUCGAAUUUGUAAAUUUUUAAACAAUUUACACACGAUAAAAGGACUAAAUGAAUCAUAGCGAGGUACAUAGUUAAGUUAUAGUAAAUAUGCGAUGAAUUCCUGCAUUUAUUCACAAAUGCAAUUGAUUAAACGCGUCAAUAAAGUAGCAAAAAAAGAGAAGUGUGUUUGUUGAAAUCGGCGUCACCUCUCGUGGGAAGUGCCUUGAUAACGAUAAAAAGCAUAGUAUGACGCAGCAUCAGCAAACGCCCACAUACUAUGGCAAGAGCACCCGAGAGGUAUCGAAACUUUAUUGAAUCGUGUCCUUUACCCUCGAAGUGUCCCCUCCGCGAUCUAUUUUCCCGAUAAUUAAACUCUCGCGUUAAUUAGCGAUUGUAACGAUGCGGAUACUUCGGCCAUUGCAGGUGCCAGAUUUCAGAUUUACUGGAAUUACUUACUGAUAUAUUCGCAAAGUUUAAUUGAGGGCAAAUUCGCGCGGCGUAUUUACAACUGGAUUAUUAUCACAUUAUUUUACACGUGACUCACUUGAGAAAAUUUAAGUGGAUCGAAUUCUAUUCGUAUCGUUUCAAGGACUCUUGAAGAAACUGCGAUACCACGACAUUAAUAGCGAUCGCGAGACGAUACAUCGAAGACGCCGUAAUCUGCUUAUCUCGCGGCUAAAUAUUUGCGCUUCGCGAUACGCGCUUUUCGCGCACUGCUGCGAACCGUAACUCGGCAAAACGGAUUACACUCACUCCUUUUCAUCGCGGUUACUCGUUUCGCGGAUAUGCUUCCGUGUUAUCGUUUACGCGGAGAUAUCGCGAGCUAAACAAAGUAUACGCGUGCAAUGCAAUGUAUAUUGCGUUGCACGCGAAGAUAUUUAAGUUACUGACAGUGCAGAAAAGAAUGCAGUCUACACUGCGGAAAUCAGAAAGCUCGAAUGCAUUUAAAAUAAGUCCUAAAUUUCUUGAUAGAAAAUUCUCAAAAUCUCUCAAAAGAAUUUUGAGCAUAUAUUUCUCGAGUCAUCGUCGUCUCAUCACAAAAUAUCCCUUAAAAAUAGUCUGUAUCGACACGGUUCGUUUUAUGUUCCAGAACAUCCGUUCGCACUGAAACAGAUCUAUUGAGCAGUGUCAAUAAUUGUGACACAGAGUGUGUGUCAACGAAUGUGACGGCUCUUAGCCUAGUUUCCACGAGCGGUGCGGACUCUCUCAUGGAGUUGAAUUGUGUGGGUCUUCGUGCAAACGUGGAUUAAACCGCAACCAUAUAAGAUUCAACAGCGGAACUAUAAUCGCAUAACUGAGCGGUUUUCCUGAAGGAAAUGGGAUAGUUCCAGUUGCUUGCAUUCACUUACUUUUCCGGAGGAAAGAGUUGGCAGUUUCAAUCUUAUUGUAACAAGAAAAUUGAUAGAGGAACAUUCGUAGAGUCAAUUAUCAUCGAAAAAUGUUUAAAUAUCUUUGUAUAUUUCUAAAAAUCUUCUUAAACAAAGAAAAACACGUAACUACUUUGUUGCUCUGUCGACAAUAAGGUUUGAAAUGCACCCAAAUAUGAUUACUGACGAAGAUUAAAUUGUGUACACUGCGUGUGCUCCGCGUGAUCGGACGAAGCUUGCAGACGCACUCGCGAAGUGCAGAUUACACGAGAGCAAAUUCUCCUCACUGAAACGCUGAGCUUGCGGAGUACGUACGCGAAUAAGCGGCCCGUUGUAAUAAAAUAAGUCGUUGUCAGCCACUCGCGGCUUAAAGCCGGAUCAAUGACGAUAUUAUCUGAAUAAUUCCUAUAAACGAGACCAUGUCUGACGACAACUCGUCAAAUUGAGUCGGUGAAUGAAGUCCCAACGGACUGAUCCCUAUCACUCGCACGCGAUAUAAAAAUCGGCCUCGAGCGAAAUCACGUGUUUGCAUGUUGAUAAAUUUAGCCUGAUUAUAAUUUCGACUUGAUUUUGUAAUUUACAAAAACUUUAGUAUUUUCUAAUUAGUAAUAUUAUUUAUUUUAGUGAAUUUUUUAGUCUUAAUGUGAUAUAUUAAUAACAUUAUAAAUGAUAAUAUUAAUAAUUAUUGUUAGCUAUCAAUAGCGGCACGGUUAUAAUAAUUAUAACAAUAACAUUUAAUUAUGUUAUUAAUAUUAAUAAUAUGAUUUCCGUGAAAACACAGUCUCUUCACGAACUUUGUUUAGGCUUGGAAUAUUGACCUCGAUAAUGCGACGUCAUUCGUACGGGUUUCGAGCCACAUGGCUGGGAAAUAUGCAUGGCGACCCGGUUUUGCUGGUCCUCGCGUGGUCAAGAAACGCGGUCAAGUAUUAUUGCGCGAGUAGAACUAUUGUGCAAGAGAAGGGAAACACGAUAUCGUGUUGCUGCCAAUUUUUGGUGGUGAACGAGGCAAAGACACCAGAGAAUCCUCUUUCUACGCCAACUCUGUAAUUCCCCGGUGAUUUCCCACGACCCUCGUCGAACCGUGAGCACCAUAAAGGCCGCACACUAUCGAUUUUGCAUCGCGCGUCUUUUUCCGUCACGCCACGAGAGUCCAUGAAGUUUCUUGGGCACGUGUACCAGAUGGGGAUGCAUUAAAAAUACCCUGAUCAAUCAUAAUGUUAUCAAUUUUCGUUUCGUAUCUGAUACAUUAAAAGUAACAUCUAUUUUCAAUUCCAGUUUACUAGUGGUUUUUUCAAGUUCUAUCUAUUUUUGUUCUAAUUAUUUCUGUUUUGUAAUAAUUAAUCAUUGCUUUAAAUAAUUUUCUAUUUAUUGUAAACUAACACUAUCGUAUAUAUUUUACAGAUAAUAUUUCAAGAUUGAUAAAUUUAAGAAUCAUGAAGAAUUAACGUGAUGUGAUCUUACGUCAUUCAGAAGAAUCCGAAUGACCGUAGGCUCGAAGAGCACAUCGUUUUGUAACGCCGCGAGGGAAAACUACGCAAACGAAGGACGUAGAAUAUCACGAGGCGCAGCAUAUCGCGCGUGAUAGAAUUGCGCGCGAGACUGCAACGGGCAAUUACGUAACUUUGUCUCGUUGUCUUUGCAGAAAUUUUACGAAGUGGAGUGGAUAUUCACGUUGGGUCGCCGCGACACGCGGUCGACCUCAUUCAAGAUAAGAUUUUGUUGGUAACCGUCAGCCAAGGGGAUCCACACCGGAAGAUGAUCCAAGAUUAGCCAAAUAACCGUGAUACGAAGAAGGGUCGUAGAGUACUGCCGGUUGCAUUCUCCCUCGGGCUACAUCGGGAAUGGCAACAAAAGCAAGAGAGAAUAAAUGGCACUCAAUUGGGCCACAAAGAUGCUGAAAAAUCUCUGCAUCCAAGUAAUAAAGUUACGGAAUCAGAACUAUAUAAUUAAAACUUAGUUAUCUUACAAAA